rnacentral:misc_RNA from 1 species
ACACAGGACAACCAACUGUCUCAUUGCGAAGUCAAAUUCCGUGAUGGGUCCGUCUUUCCUAGAAUAAGGGAAGGAUACUAUAGGAUUGAUCCUAGUUCUUCUCUACGCUGGGUGCUUCACGGAUCAUAAAAAA